UUAAAGGAAUUGACGGGACCCGCACAAGCGGUGGAUGAUGUGGUUUAAUUCGAUGCAACGCGAAAAACCUUACCUACCUUUGACAUGUACGGAACCCUUUAGAGAUAGAGGGGUGCUCGAAAGAGAGCCGUAACACAGGUGCUGCAUGGCUGUCGUCAGCUCGUGUCGUGAGAUGUUGGGUUAAGUCCCGCAACGAGCGCAACCCUUGUCAUUAGUUGCUACAUUCAGUUGGGCACUCUAAUGAGACUGCCGGUGACAAGCCGGAGGAAGGUGGGGAUGACGUCAAGUCCUCAUGGCCCUUAUAGGUGGGGCUACACACGUCAUACAAUGGCUGGUACAAAGGGUUGCCAACCCGCGAGGGGGAGCCAAUCCCAUAAAGCCAGUCGUAGUCCGGAUCGUAGUCUGCAACUCGACUACGUGAAGUCGGAAUCGCUAGUAAUCGUGGAUCAGAAUGUCACGGUGAAUACGUUCCCGGGUCUU
rnacentral:rRNA from 1 species